GGAGAGGUGUCCGAGCUGGCCUAAGGAGCACGAUUGGAAAUCGUGUGUUGGUUAACAGCCAACCGAGAGUUCGAAUCUCUCCCUCUCCGCCA
rnacentral:tRNA from 2 species